rnacentral:rRNA from 1 species
CAGCAGCCGCGGUAAUACGUAGGGUGCAAGCGUUAAUCGGAAUUACUGGGCGUAAAGCGYGCGCAGGCGGUUCGGAAAGAAAGDUGUGAAAUCCCAGGGCUYAACCUUGGAACUGCACUUUUAACUGCCGGGCUUGAGUACGUYAGAGGGGGGUAGAAUUCCACGUGUAGCGGUGAAAUGCGUAGAGAUGUGGAGGAAUACCGAUGGCGAAGGCAGCCCCCUGGGAUGAUACUGACGCUCAUGCACGAAAGCGUGGGGAGCAAACAGGAUUAGAUACCCUGGUAGUCCACGCCCUAAACGAUGUCAACUAGCUGUUGGGGUUUAUUAACCUUAGUAGCGCAGCUAACGCGUGAAGUUGACCGCCUGGGGAGUACGGUCGCAAGAUUAAAACUCAAAGGAAUUGAC